AAAGCGUGUGCAUUUUGUAAUACAAGAGAACCAAAGAGUUUAAUUGUUCUACAGCAGGUAAGGGAACCCAUUCAUACUUAGCUUUUAAUCAUCAUGCUAUUCAAUUAAGUGUUUCCUAGCAGACUGAACACUGUGAGAAACUUAUAGAUUUUCCUUGUCUGUUUUGCUUUUAGAGUCAAUCAAAUUGAUGUGUCAAAUUACCCUUUGUCCUGUAUGAAAUAGUAGCUAGAGUAGUUUUAAUUGGUUCAAAACCUAAUCUGAGGUGCCUUUUUCUAUAUCUCAUGCCUAUUUAAAAGUGUGCAUUUCUCCCCUUUAGGAAGACAGUAAAGGGUUGAAGGUUACCGUAUUUUUCGCUCUAUAAGACGCACCAGACCAUAAGACGCACCUAGUUUUUGGAGGAGGAAAACAAGAAAAAAAAUAUUCUGAAUCCCAGAAGCCAGAACAGCAAGAGGGAUCGCUGCGCAGCGAAAGCAGCAAUCCCUCUUGCUGUUCUGGCUUCUGGAAUAGCUGCGCAGCCUGCAUUCGCUCCAUAAGACGCACACACAUUUCCCCUUACUUUUUAGGAGGGAAAAAGUGAGUCUUAUAGAGCAAAAAAUGCGGUACAUAUUUGGAAUCCAGUGGCCAUGUUCUGCAAGGCAGAACCACUUGCUUGCUCCUGCCAAGAAGAAAAACACCAACCCCCUAAAUAAUUUGUAAUGUUAAGACUUUAUUUACAUUCAUAGCCUGGUUCUACAUAAUAGGUUUCUUGCAGCCAAAGUAUCCACCUUCCAAAAUGCUGGAAGUAAUUUAGGCUUUCUGCAAACCCAGGUUCCUAGAUGUCAACAAAUGUAUUUUCAUACAAUAAACACUUAUUUUUGCCCAGUUAGAUUUACAAGCGGUUCAAGAUGCAGGUCAAAAUAAUUUCUGUUCUGGGAAGUGAUGUGACAGUGUCGGGGAAGGUAAGAUGACUGCUUAUCCUUUAGAUUUCUGAUUGCAUCCAUAUACAGACAGUACUAGUAUUCAAUAACCCUAGGCAUUUGGCAUUCCUCCAACAGUGUAUUUAUAUAUUGCAUUGACCUGCUUUUGUUCCAGCUCAUUAAAUAUAGCUGAUGUCAAUGAUCGGGGGGGAAUGGACUGUCUGCAGUGGUCUAAAGGAUUAGAGUAGCUGCAGCCACUCGCCACCUUUUCUAGACCAGUGGUAUUCAUUGUACUGUCUAUAUACCUUGCAAUCCAAACUGCUUGUCUGAACACUCUCUGAGACCAAUCACUCACUAAGGCUAAUCCAGCCCAAGAAAAGCAUAUACACUCAUAUACUUUUCCACUUGUGUGACCCUUAAUACCAGUUAAAUGCAAGGUGUUGCUGCUGCUGAAUUAAAGGACAGGUAGUGGCUGACUUGUGACGCAGGUGGUGCUGUGGGUUAAACCACAGAGCCUAGGACUUGCCAAUCAGAAGGUUGGCGGUUCGAAUCCCCGCCACGGGGUAAGCUGCUGUUGCUCGGUUCCUGCUCCUGCCAAGCUAGCAGUUCGAAAACACAUCAAAGUGCAAGUAGAUAAAUAGGUACCGCUCCGGCGGGAAGGUAAACGGCAUUUCCGUGUGCUGCUCUGGUUUGCCAGAAGCGGCUUAGUCAUGCUGGCCACAUGACCCAGAAGCUGUACGCCGGCUCCCUCGGCCAAUAAAGCGAGAUGAGCGCCGCAACCCCAGAGUUGGCCACGACUGGACCUAAUGGUCAGGGGUACCUUUACCCUUUACCUUUUAGUGGCUGACUUGUACCAAGUCAUCAUCCCAUGUAUAUAGGUGGUUUGCAAAAGAAAUAUAGAAUAAAAAUGGGUUGAUGCAAACCAAUAGAAAGGGACAUCAUUCUCCCUUCUUCUCUUGCAGAGUUGGGGCUUUUUUCCAGCCAGAACUCACCAGAACUAAGGUGGAUGCCAUUGCGGUUCUAAGAGAAUGAAAGAGGUGUUCAUGGUGAGUUUCGGCACUUCUUUUUCUAGAAAAAUAGCACUGUGCAGAAUACCGGGGUGCAGAUGGGAGUCCAAGAGAAGAGGAGGCAGGAUGAUCUCAGGGAAAACCAUUCCUCCUUUCUGACCUUGUGAACUCUCUCAGCAUUUUCAUGCCAUAUCAAACCAACAGCAGCACACACAGCCUCCAGCCAACAGCAUUUAACUGCCAAGGUCAUGGCAGGAUAAUUGACAGUGCUAGCAGGCAGAGGAAGCAGGCUUUUUUGGAGUUAACGGAGGCAGCGUUAAAGAAAUACUGAGUAAUAUUAUGAUCUUAGGAGCAGAAGUGUUAAAAAGGUAUAACUUUGUAAUGCUAGAACACUUGCCGUUGCUGCUAUGCCAAAGCACCACUUCACACCAUUGUAAUUAAAUAUAUCUAUUCAGGAUCAGUAUAGCUAAAAUAACGGUUGAAAGAAUUAUGACCAGAUUCUCAAGGGGUAAAGGGUCACAUUACUGAUGUAUCACAGCUACAUUGCACAACUGGUUCUAGACCCAACAGUGCAGAGAAUCAAACUUCCUGCUCAUUUUCUACCAUCCUCACUGUGGCAGAAAGGGACAUUUUCACACAUUAUCAUCCUUUGCCAGUUCCCCAUACCUUAGAGCAAGGCAUGCUAAAGCAAAGGCAAACUGGGACUCAGGUCUCACCCUGCCUAGCAGAGAUGCAGCAAAGGCCCAGGAGCAACAAAGCAGAGUAUAUUCCCUCAGUUAACUCCUUCCCUUCAUGGCCAUUUGGGUUCCCCAUUGCACACCCAGUCCGUCCAUGGCUUCUCCCCACCCCACCCCAAGGUAGAAGUAAUAUGUGUACACCCGUGAUUUCUGAUGUAUUUACACUUCACAAUUUGAAGUGAACUUCUUAUCCAGUGGUGGCUUUGUAGCAAGCGUUUCUGCUUGCACCCGAGUGUUACUGAUCCCCCUACCCACUGCAGCCCCUGUUGCCUUCCAGCUGCUCCUCAGGAUUGGGGGACCUGACAGAACAGUGAGAGAUAGGUCACUGGAGCUGCAGAAUCAGGUUCCCCAACUUUGUCGGAACGUAAGUGCUUUCUACUAGUGUUAAGUCUCUGUUGGAUAUGUGUGGAGGAGCAGAGAUUCAGUUGUAAACAGAAGCAAUGCUUCAGUUGUAAAGCUGCUGAUAAUCACUCCUGCUACCCUGUUUCCUGCACCUACCUGCUGGCCUGUAAAGCAUGUUGGAAGAAAAAGAGAGCUGCAACAGCAAAAUCCAUUACAUCAGAAUUCCGGCAAGCUGUGUUAAUAUAUUGGCUGCAUUGUGAGUGCUGUACACCUGCGAUGCCUCAAGGUGGGGGUUGGGUGGUGGUUUUGUUUCAGCUUGUAUAUGCUGCAAGAUACGCUGCAGAAUCCUUGACUGAUGAACUUCUUUGACGGAUGACUGAACCCAAGAUGCCCAUUAGCGCUUAAGUAUUUCACCAAUUAUAUGCAGACACUAACAGCAUCUUAAAGGUUAAAUGUAUUUUCAUAACUCUUUUCACAUAAGCAAAUCCACCUUAGGAUUAACAGUGAUUUAUUCUUGUUGGUUAUUGACGAUAAACUGCCAAGAGGCAGAAAGAUAAUUAACUCAGAUAUAAUGAUUCUGUGACCAAUUAUAUUGGAUAUAUCUGAGAUCAUUAACUCUGCAUCUACAACAGGAAGCAAAAACACCAAGCAAAAUCAUUUUUAGAAUUACUGAGUCAUAAUAAUAAAAAAGGGAACUAAUACAAUAUAACAGCAGGUUUGAUUGGCUUCACUUGGCCCUUUUGCUUAGUGCUAAUAUUAUUUGCCAACCGUGCCUGAAAAGGAGGUCCUUCGUUUCUAACUGCUUAAUAAUUUGUUUUUAUUAAAUGUUUGAAACAGGGAUUUUUACCAUUACCAUCUUGAGAGCAUUUACCCAGUAUAAGCCAUAUAUCAGGGGUAUAAAUUUAUGAAUGCGCUAUGGAGAUAUAUAAAUGCCGGUUAAAUUAAUAGGAUGGAUAAGCAGGUUUGUUCAUACACUGGCUUCAGUGGAAAUUAAGCAUGCCUUGUUUACCCUGGAUUGUGCCUGUGAUAAAUUAGGUUUAUAGCACCAUUUUGUACAAGUUGGAAGGUAAUGGGAACAGUGAUGGAGGGCAGAGUUAGCACACUAGAACCCACUGCCACCUUACACAUUUACUGCACUCUUUAUCAAAUGCCCGAGAAGGACUUUUGUGAACCAGCCCAAUCACACUAGUAAACAGCUUCCCAAGAAUCAGCCAUUCCAGGCUAUGUGCAAUGAAACUCCUGGGAUUGACUCGCCACAGCCACCUGUUAACCAGAACCCACCUGAGUCAAGAGUCUUUAUAAAUGUUAGUAUUCCUUGGUCCCUUGGUCUCUGACUAUUCAAGAUGCUGUACUGCUUGUGUUUGAAGAUGAUCCUAGACUUUUGUGAGUAGCUUAGCCAAUAAAAUAAAUAAAUACAACCUUUUAGAAAAUUUAAGCAUCCUUCUGCCUCACUUGUGCUUGCCCUCUCUGAAACCCUGUGUUUAGUAAACACUCUUCAGUUUGGCUGCUGAGGUUCUUGCGUGCAUUCGGGCCAAACUCAAAAGGAUAUUCCCCUUCAUGCUGUGUGUGCAUCAGGUGGGAUUUGGCAGAGAACAGCAAGCUACAUUGGGCUCGGGUGAGAGAUGGGUGACACCCUUAGAGCAACAUACGUAAGUGUAAUGGCAGCUUGCCUGAGAGCCUCUUGCAUGGCUGGCCUACCUAGAUUGGCAGUCAUAGCAAAAGAGGAGUAGAGCAAUUUCCUUACAUGGGUGACCAGAUGCUAAGCGGGACAAAACUCCUUCAUGCAUAUCAGCUGUGUAGAAGAGUGAAUUUUGCCAGAUGCAGCUCAUCAUGCAUGGAUCCUCCUUUUCAGGUCAUUCAAUGGAGGCUGCAAUUAUUUGAGAUUUAUUAAUGUAUGCAAUCAAUAGGAUCUUGAGGGUAAUCCACUCUGAGGAGCUGACUUUGAUGGAAGAUGCAGAACAUAAACAUACAAAAUUCUAUAUAUAUAUGCAGUUACUCAGGAACAAGUCCCAUUGAACUUAGUGGGAUGUGCAUCCAAAUAAACAUGCACAGGAGUGCACCGUACUGCCUGUAAGGCCCAGGAACAGAUAAAAAGCAGCACCUUCAAGGCAAAGAGAUACAACAGAGAGCCUGUGGAGACUGUGCCCUCGUGGAAAUGUAUUCCUUCCAGCUUAACUCUACCAAUUAUAAAGCUGUCUCAGAGAACGCACAUUUCAGAAUUUACUCCUGCAAACUGCUACAUGCCAUAAAAUAUGUUUCACAUAUAGGGCACUGUCUCUAUAGUAACACCAGCAUACUAUGAGCGCUGACUUUUCAGAUAGGUAUUGAAAAGGAAGCCCAUUGCAAUUUAUUUUUAGUUGGCUGGUUGCAACUUAUCUGCUAUUUUUUGUGAUUGUGUUAUAUAUUUUAAAUUGUUUUAGGAGUAAUCCUCUCCAAAAUUGCACUUGUAUUACAGUGCAAGCAAGAAAUGUUUGAAAUAAAUAAUACUGGCUGCAGCUAGACUAGAUAUUGUUGCUAACUAGAAGUAUUCUAAGUCAUUAGGCAUAGAUCAAUGGCAUAAGACAUUCUGGGAAGGAAGUCUUCUCAGCUAAGUUUAAUUAUUUCAGAAAACAAAUGAAAGGAAGAGCACAAAAUAUAUUUAAAGUAAGAUGGGGGCCUUUUUAAAAUAAAGCAUUGAAAUAUACAGUUUCAACAUAACCUCUGGCCCUACACUUCUGUUACAUUAAAAGAUUUGAUUUGGGUUAGCAUUUCUAUGCACUGCUGGAACAAAGAUAAUAUAUAAUAUUUAUGCUGUACUCCAAGGACAUUUAGAAUAACUUUUUAACUCUUACUGAGAAUUAGUUUGUAUAUAAUUGGUUUAUUCAUGAUAAAACUUUCCACACGUUAAUCACAUACAAGAUUGAAAAUAGCUCAUUAUUUUUUCUAUGCACGCUAUUGCAUUUGCUUAUACUUUCCCAGUAACUAUAUUGCAUCUAUAUAUAUAUUUGUAAUAAUAAAACAAUAUGGUGGGCUUUUCUUGGUUUUACGUUGACAGAUGGUACCCUUUACAAAGACACACACAGAGAGAGACACACACACACUGCAAAAGUGCUCCUAAACUUCCUUUUCAGUUCAGAAGGUUUUUGAUCUGGACAUUGCAGGAGGCUGAUGCCUUCCAAGGCAAACUUUCACAUUCUAUUACUGCCCUCAAGAGCUAUCAGCCAGCCUUGCCUUCAGAGAAUAAAUGAGCCAGGAACCUUGCCUUCCGUUUUCAUUUGGGAUUGCAAUUAAAGAAGAAGUAGGAUGCUCAGUCGGUUUGGUAGAAUAGUGUGGCUGGUGGGUAAACAAAGGCUCCUCGAUCUUCUCCAGUUGUCUUUUUCUGUGACACAAUGUGCCCCAGGGCUAAUGUAAAACCUUUAACUCUGCAGGUGUCUGGGCAAGACAAUCACUGUAAAGCUACUCUCCCAAAGACAUUUUCAACUUGAUUACCCAGCAGCAAGCAGGCCUGGAAGGCUUUAUGAUGUUUGCAACUGCUGCCAAAUGUGACCCUCCUUUAGAAGUUGCAGGCUUUUAUCUCUAGGAUUGCAUCCAGCUGGAAGCUCAGCAAAGCGAUGAUAAAGCAAAGGUAAAAGCAGCAAUGCUACAUAAAAAGUAAUCUCUGUGAUGCACACAAGUCAGGCCUCCUGACUGAGACAGUAGCCUUCUCCAGAUUUCAUCCUGGCAACACACAUGAAGGAUUUACCCUGAGAAACGUAUGCUGAGCUGCAAAAUAAUAAUAAUAAAAUUGCUACUGUUAGCAAAACACAUUAUGAAUCUCUUACUGUGAUUAAUGAAAUCUUGCUUACCAAAUAACUCUGCACUAGGCAAGAACACCGUUGUCCAGGCUUUGCAGAUGGAAAACUUUUAAAGUGAAGAUGCCAUUUCAUCUUCUAAGGAAGAAAAAAGAAGAAAGGCAUAUUGGAAAGGACAGAGGUUUAUAAUAUAUAAUGAGAAUGAAAAGACAGAAAUUAUUUCCUCUCCCCUCACUUUCAGUAUAUUAGGAGGACUCUAGACCAUUUGUUUUAAAAGUAGCAGGUAUAAUACAACUACCACAGCCAAUGGACACUGGACAUUAACUACAGUUAAAGAUGGUAGAUUCAAGGUGUCGUGAAAGAGCAGCAAAUUGUUAGUUACUGCAUCAUUCCUGUUGUCCUUUUGCUGCCAGAGAGGAAGAAUUUUGAAAGCUGAGAGGGAAAAUCCCAGAAGCACCUCAUGCUGGAAGUAAAACAUCAACAACUUAAAUUACUAACGAUUGGCUGUCUUUCCAUGGCACCAAAAAAUCAGCUGUCCGAAGUGGCUACCUCACUUUAUCACACUGACACUAGGGUUUGUUUUUUUCUCCUCAUUUAGUCUGAAUGGGUACACUAGCUUAGUAAUCAGCUUGCAAAACAUAAAAAGAAUUUAAUUCUUCAGUGCUGUUGUGCCUUUGGCAAAGUGUUGGUAGUCUGUAGCAUUUUCUCUACUCAGCUCUCAGAAAACGUCUAAACCAAUUUAUUAGAUAUUUUGAUGAUGAUAUAUUAUUUACUCUGUUCAUGAAUCUCCUCCCAUGAAACGUCCUGAAAUGAUUAACAAAGGAGUACAUAUGCAUAGAUUUUCUAGCCCAAUAAAGUCAAGGACAAAAAUCUCUAUUGGAAAAAGAAGGUAUUCAACAAUUGCUGUCCAUUUGAUAUGUAAUGUGGGGAUGCUCCAAAUGGUGGUUACUAUCACACUAAAGGUGUGAUUGCUACAUGCAUGGAAUGGUUGUUCUGAUAAGAUGGUAUCUGUACGAGCCCUUUUCCUGCAGACUGUAGUGACUGGGUAUAUAAGAGUUGAAGCAAUCCUUUGGGAACUUAGAUAUAAAAACAGAGGUCUAAAGUUUAAACACUAGGUUCACUCAAUAGUCUUGCACAUGCCAAAAUGGAUAUUUGUUCAAUUUUAGACCACUUUAUUCUUUGGACAGCAACAGGCACUAGUAUCAUAUCUCCCAUUGAUAUAUCACAAACUGCUUUUGACUUCACCCUCAGUUUCAAAAGCAAUAUGACACACUGUAGGAAGAGGAUCUUUUGUUAGAGAAAAAGAUAUUUGAAGAUCCCUUAGGCUUACAAAACUAGUUUUAUGGCUCUUUCUACCCUGGUCAAAGUCUGCAGGUCAGGACAUGUAUAAUCUUACUUCGUAAUAGGGGCAGUCUAGAGGGCAGCUGGAAUGUGUGAUAUGCAUCUAUAUGGAGCCAAAGUGACCCAAUAUUCAUAAAAUUAAAUAAAUAAAAUAAAAUAAGCACCUUAUACUUUUUCAGAAAGUAUGAAAAGUAGUUUGAAAAGAAAGUAUUAGUCAUAAACCUAAUGACCUUAUAUUAAAUAUAUUUAGGAUAGACUUGCUGCUUUGCAUUGUUUGUAAACGUAGUGUUGUGAAGAUAUGGGAGGACCACUGAACGAAGAGAAAAUACUGAUUCAUUUAUUUAUAAGUUUUGUAUACUGCUUGAUUGUAUAUGUGCUUUGAGGGUGGUUGCUGAUGCUUUAUGAAUAAUUGAACAUAAAAUAUUAUUUAAAUAUUGUAUGUGUGUGUGUGCACGCGCACACACACACACACACCCUGCAGGAAUGUUGAUACAUGGCAAGAAGGAAGGGUUAGGCAGUUGCAAUAAUUCAGGACCAUGGUCAGCUCCCUAUGGAGCAAAAGUCGUAGGCUGAAUGUAUGCAAACUCCAAGCAGGUGGUUAACCCCAGAGGUCUAGGAGCAAAAGGCAGACUGCCUAAACCCCAGAUAGGUCAUGUGAACAGGCAUUGCUGUUCAUGACUUGGCGCAUCACUCACUGAACCACAUGGAGAAAUGAGAGCAAGAACUGCAGCCAGGCUGCCAGGGCUUCAACAGGGCCUGCUACUGCACUGUUCCCUGUCCUGGGAUCUCCACACCAGUGAGAACCACUGCAUAAAUUUCCUGCGGAAUCCUGUAGCAAUGCUAUGCUGUGGGUCACUGUGGGAAAUUAAAAUGGUGGCUCAAACGCAGCUGCCAGACCACUGCUAGAUAAGCCCACAUGGACCCAAGGGCACAAGAGAAGGCCCACCAGAGGACACUAUACAGAGGUGCCCCUCAAACCCGGACUGAGCGUUGAGUGCCCAACAGGUUGUAAGAACACUGCUGAAACUGUGAGGUACAUGAUGUCCAACUCUGAUGAAAUGCGUGAGGAAAUAUCUCCUAGCAGUUGUCGAAUGCAAGAAUCAGAUUUACAAAAACAGCUUUCUCUUCUCUCUUUCUCUCUUUAAGAGCUUAUUCAAUCACCUUUGCACUGAAAAUUGCUCAGGGCAGCAAGGAAAAAAGGAAAUGAGUAUCUACAAAUACACACUAAAAUAUCAAAAGCAUUUUUUUUAAGACUGGAAGAAAAGGCUUCUGUUUAUUCAGAGCAAGUCAUUUGUCAUGGCUUUGUCACAAGCAUCUUCAGAUCCUGAUAGUUUUGCACAACUGAUUGAUUUUCUUUACAUUAGAAAUUCAUGUCUUGUUUACUGUGGAAGCGUCUAUCAGCAGGCCACUACAUCAUAAGGCAAAGACCAACAAGAACUCAAGGACAUAUUGGCCAAGCCAUUUCACUGUUUACCUCCAGACAUCUUGUCAAGACAUUUCUGUUUAAGCAAGCCUCACGGUGCCGGUGCUGUGAGUGGAUCAACUAUUAUUGAUUGCUUUCAGCAUUUUCAUUGUUUUGCUGUUUUUAAGAAAUGGUGCAUUCUCUUCCAUAAGGCUUGAUAAAGGCUACGAGUGCUCUUUAAAUAAUAGCAAUUGAUAAUAGUGCCUCUUUGCAGCUCAUAUUAAAAAUUAUAGUACAUUUAUAUAUGUAAAGUCGACAAACCCUGACUACUUGCUUAUAAAGCUGCACAUGCUCCAGCCUUCAGCUUAACAGAGAGAUCACCAAGCUUUUGGGGCCUGCAGGCACAUUUGCAAGCUGGAGGUGUGCAGCAGCUGUGAAAAAAAGGCGAAUUCUAUGCUAGGAAUAAUUAGGAAAAGAACUGAAAAUAAAACUGCCAUUGUCACAAUGCCAUCACACAGAUCUGUGGUGCAACCAUACAGUUGACCUCAAAAAAUAUAUUGUAGAAUUAAUAAAGGCUCAGAAAAGGGCAACCAAAAUGAUCAAGUGGGUGGACCAUGUGGGAUGUGAUACAUAAGUACCGUAUUUUUUGCUCUAUAAGACGCACCCGACCAUGAGACGCACCUAGUUUUUAGAGGAGGAAAACAAGAAACCCUCUUGAGCGAAGAGGCAGGAGCGCUCCGGCUGCGCUCAAGAGGCUUUGCGUGGCUAUCCCUGAAGCCAGGAGAGCAAGAGGGAUUGGUGCGCACCUCUGACUUCCUCUGUGAUCAGAGCAGCUUUUCAGCUAGAGAUGCUCUGUUGGCUCUCAGCCAACAGAGAACACUGGGAUUAUCCUCAUAUGGAAUAGAUUCACAUAUAUAUACUUUGUAACUAAGUCUGCCUUCAGGGAUCCAACUGUGAACUGAAUGUGAGUAAACCUAUUUUAUAUACUUUAAACAAGAUUAUGGCGUGUUUAUUGUUUUAAGAGGGAUAUAAGGGAACUUACCAGGAACCUAAUAGUGAGAGGCUUACACAAGCCUGCAACCAGCUACCUGCUGUGUGUUUAAAAGAUUGAGGUUGAAUCCUGACAAGACAGAAGUACUGUUUUUGGGGGACAGGAGGCAGGCAGGUGUGGAGGAUUCCCUGGUCCUGAAUGGGGCAACUGUGCCCCUGAAGGACCAGGUGCGCAGCCUGGGAGUCAUUUUGGACGCACAGCUGUCCAUGGAGGCACAGGUCAAAUCUGUGUCCAGGGCAGCUGUUUACCAGCUCCAUCUGGUACGUAGGCUGAGACCCUAUCUGCCUGCGGACUGUCUCGCCAGAGUGGUGCAUGCUCUGGUUAUCUCCCGCUUGGACUACUGCAAUGCGCUCUAUGUGGGGCUACCUUUGAAGGUGACUCAGAAACUACAACUAAUCCAGAAUGCAGCAGCUAGACUGGUGACUGGGAGCAGCCGCCGAGACCAUAUAACACCGGUCUUGAAAGACCUACAUUGGCUCCCAGUACGUUUCCGAGCACAAUUCAAAGUGUUGGUGUUGACCUUUAAAGCCCUAAACGGCCUCGGUCCAGUAUACCUGAAGGAGCAUCUCCACCCCCAUCGUUCUGCCCGGACGCUGCGGUCCAGCACCGAGGGCCUUCUGGCGGUUCCCUCAAUGCGAGAAGCAAAGCUACAGGGAACCAGGCAGAGGGCCUUCUCGGUAGUGGCGCCCACCCUGUGGAACGCCCUUCCAGCAGAUGUCAAAGCGAUAAACAACUACCUGACAUUCAGAAGACAUCUUAAGGCAGCCCUGUUCAGGGAAGUUUUUAACGUGUGAUAUUUUAGUGUAUUUUUGGUUUCUAUCGAAGCCACCCAGAGUGGCUGGGGAGGCCCAGCCAGAUGGGCGGGGUAUAAAUAAUAAAUUAUUAUUAUUAUUAUUAUUAUUAUUAUUAUUAUUAUUAUUAUUAAAAGGGGACUGUGAAACUCUGCUAAGGAACUUGCUAGCACAAGUUUGGAAGGAUAUUAAUAAACAAUGUAUCCUAUGAGGAAAGGUGGUCAUAUUUGGAGCAUCUUUGUUUAGAGAAAAGCUGAGAAGGAGGCAACAUGAUAGAAGUAUAUGAAAUUAUGUGGAGUUUGCUGGUAAGAGGGAUUGGUUGCUAAAUCCUUCUGGCGACUCUAGCGCUGUGCAAGAAACAGGGGUCUCUUAACAACUCUCAGCACCCUUAACAAACUACACUUCCCAGAAUUCUAUGGAGGGCUGUUUAAAGUGGUGCCAGAGUGCUUUCAGUGUAUGGUGUGAAUGUGGCUUUGCUUAUGUCCCAUAGAUUUCAAUUGGUCUGUUCUAAGCCUAAGUCAAAAUCCAACCCCAUGUUUGUCUUUCAAUGCCCUUGUGUCCAAAGAGAUUUUAAUAUAAGCAUUUUAAAAAAGAGAGAAAAAUGCUUUCUGGCUUUGAUUAACUAAUGACAUGUUAAUUAAUUGUGGCAAUUACCCACAUUGUUUUCUCCCAAAACAAAACAUAAAAUUAACAAGCCAUACUGCAUUUUAAGCAGGCCUUCAUUACGCAGCAGAAUGCAGAGGAGAGAUAGCUCAACUGCAAGCAGCAUUUUGUAAGCGUCUUGCUUAACCUCCAGGUUCAGCUAAAAGCAUCAUGAAUGAGGUCAUUCUCAGCAAUGAGGUUUUGGCUUCAGUCCUAAUGACAUUGUUUCUAGCUCUUAUACACUAUGAGAUACAUAUUGGUGGAGGGGGUGGGGGCAGGGAGAGAAUUCCUUGUAAAAUAAAUGUAUACCACAGACAAUAUGACCUUCCUUACCUUGAAAUUUAUAUUGCAGGGACAUGGAAAAGACUUAAGAGCCUCGGACAUAAGAUCACCAGGUUGAUGGACUAGAUGGAAUGGACAAGAAGGACUGACAAAACCCGAGACCAGGAAGAAGAGA